UACAGAGGUCCCAAGCGUUGUUCGGAUUCACUGGGCGUAAAGGGUGCGUAGGUGGCUGGGUCAGUCUGAUGUGAAAUCUCCGAGCUUAACUCGGAAACUGCAUUGGAUACUGCUCGGCUCGAGGGUUGGAGGGGGGACUGGAAUACUUGGUGUAGCAGUGAAAUGCGUAGAUAUCAAGUGGAACACCAGUGGCGAAGGCGAGUCCCUGGACAACUCCUGACACUGAGGCACGAAAGCUAGGGGAGCAAACGGG
rnacentral:rRNA from 1 species